ACAUUGUGCUUGCACAGAUGACGACCGGCGCACGGGUGCGUAACGCGUAUAGAACCUACCUUUUACAGAGGAAUAGCCUUUAGAAAUGAAGAUUAAUGCCUCAUAGUAUUGUAGACUGGCAUCAGUUUAUAAUUAAAGAUUUAUCGGUAAAAGAUGGCUAUGCGUCCUAUUAGUUAGUUGGUAAGGUAACGGCUUACCAAGACAGCGAUAGGUAGGGGUCCUGAGAGGGAGAUCCCCCACACUGGUACUGAGACACGGACCAGACUCCUACGGGAGGCAGCAGUGAGGAAUAUUGGACAAUGGAGGAGACUCUGAUCCAGCCAUGCCGCGUGUAGGAAGAAUGCCCUAUGGGUUGUAAACUACUUUUAUACAGGAAGAAACACUGGUAUGUAUACCAGCUUGACGGU
rnacentral:rRNA from 1 species